AUGCAUGGGUAACCUACCCUCGAGUGGGGAAUAACUAGCCGAAAGGUUAGCUUAAUACCGCAUACGUUUCCGGGACCUCGGUUCCGGAAAGAAAACAAUACCGUGGGUAUUGCGCUCAUGGAUGGGCUCAUGUCCUAUCAGCUUGUUGGUGAGGUAACGGCUCACCAAGGCUUCGACGGGUAGCUGGUCUGAGAGGACGAUCAGCCACACUGGCACUGCGACACGGGCCAGACUCCUACGGGAGGCAGCAGUAAGGAAUAUUGCGCAAUGGACGAAAGUCUGACGCAGCGACGCCGCGUAGGGGAUGAAGGUCUUCGGAUUGUAAACCCCUUUCGGGAGGGAAGAGGAGUGGGUAACCACUUGGACGGUACCUCCAGAAGCAGCCAC
rnacentral:rRNA from 1 species